rnacentral:rRNA from 1 species
AUUGGACGCUGGCGGCAGGCCUAACACAUGCAAGUCGAACGAGUGGCGGACGGGGGAGUAAUGUCUGGGAAACUGCCUGAUGGAGGGGGAUAACUACUGGAAACGGUAGCUAAUACAGCAUACCAUCAGAUGUGCCAAGCUGGGAUUAGCUAGUUGGUGGGGUAACGGCUCACCAAGGCGACGAUCCCUAGCUGGUCUGAGAGGAUGACCAGCCACACUGUAACUGAGACACGGGCCAGACUCCUACGUGAUGCAGCAGUGGGGAAUAUUGCACAAUGGGCGCAAGCCUGAUGCAGCCAUGCCGCGUGUAUGAAGAAGGCCUUCGGGUUGUAAAGUACUUUCAGCGGGGAGGCGUUACCCGCAGAAGAAGCACCGGCUAACUCCGUGCCAGCAGCCGCGGUAAUUC